GCACUCAAAUCUUUCCCAGGCCUGCUUGCUUGGUGCUGGUCUGGGGACAGGCAGUGCUAUAGUAGAGCAGAGGAAAUCCAGACGGGUCGUUUCCAUCUGUCCUGGGGCCUGUCCCUACAACUCUGCCACACUU
ensembl:snoRNA LOC120103284 small nucleolar RNA SNORA55